AUUGAACGCUGGCGGCAGGCUUAACACAUGCAAGUCGAGCGAGCGGCGGACGGGUGAGUAAUGUCUGGGAAACUGCCUGAUGGAGGGGGAUAACUACUGGAAACGGUAGCUAAUACCGCAUACCAUCAGAUGUGCCCCGAUGGGAUUAGCUAGUCGGUGGGGUAAUGGAUCACCUAGGCGACGAUCCCUAGCUGGUCUGCGAGGAUGACCAGCCAAACGGGAACUGAGACACGGUCCAGACUCCGACUGGAGGCAGCAGUGGGGAAUAUUGCACAAUGGGCGAAAGCCUGAUGCAGCCAUGCCGCGUGUGGGAAGAAGGCCUGCGGGUUGUAAAGCACUUUCAUCGAGGAGGCGUUACUCGCAGAAGAAGCACCGGCUAACUCCGUGCCAGCCGCCGCGGUAAUAC
rnacentral:rRNA from 1 species